rnacentral:rRNA from 1 species
CCUACGGGAGGCAGCAGUGGGGAAUAUUGGGCAAUGGGCGCAAGCCUGACCCAGCAACGCCGCGUGAAGGAAGAAGGCUCUCGGGUUGUAAACUUCUUUUAUCAGGGACGAAGCAAGUGACGGUACCUGAUGAAUAAGCCACGGCUAACUACGUGCCAGCAUCCGCGGUAUUACGUAGGUGGCAAGAGUUAUCUGGAUUUACUGGGUGUAAAGGGCGUGUAGGCGGGAAAGCAAGUCAGAUGUGAAAACCAUGGGCUCAACCUGUUGCCUGCAUUUGAAACUGUUUUUCGUGAGUACUGGAGAGGCAGACGGAAGUCCUAGUGUAGCGGUGAAAUGCGUAGAUAUUAGGAGGAACAGCAGUGGCGGAGGCGGUCUGCUGGACAGCAACUGACGCUGAGGCGCGAAAGCGUGGGGAGCAAACAGGAUUAGAUACACCAGUAGUC